UCUUUACAGAUUCAGACCCCACAAGCCCUCCUUCCACUCCGGUCACUCAAGAAGCAGAAUCCUCGAGGCCCCCUUCCACUCCGCUCUCUCAAGAUAACAUGGCAACAGCAAGGGUCAAACUAAAUGUACCCAAAGGAGUGAAUCUUGAGGACCCCAAAGUGUACGAAGCCAUUUUAGAGCAGAUUCGGGAGCAUCUCUCCAAGAACUUUCCAAUGGACGGUGUUAAUCUGCGCUGGAGAAGACAAGACGGAGAGAUAUUCCACAAGGAUGAAGAGGAGGAGAAGGAGAAGUACUUCAUGCCGUGAGAUACCUGCGCCCACAAUGACAAGCGAGGGCUUUCAGCGAUAGAGCCGUCGAUGCGGGCUCUGCCGUGUGGUAGAUGACUGCAUCUGGAGUUUUGAGUCCUGAGCUGAGGGUGCUAAUGAAAGUCAAGGUCAUCUACCACACGGUACAGCCCACAUCAAGAGGGCUCUAUCACUAUUAAAACAUGAUUUAAUUCUUUAUUUUCUCUUAAAAAAAAAACAACAACUUUAAAACCUAUAUUUACGUUGAACUUCUGAUAUUUCGGCAGAUAACCUUCCGCUGAGGAAGAUAGUCCCUAACAUAAUUAGAAUAGAAAAAUGACAUGCGCGUAGAUAAAACCGUUAUUAUCAUUAUUAUUAUUAUGACAUUGCCAGAUAAAUUAACUGUAGGCUUGUUGAAUAGUCUGUGUAGUAUUGAGGCAGACUCAAAACUUGUUAGAGGCGGGGCGUCAUUCAAGCUGGCAGGGAGUGGAUUGGCUGCUGUGGAAAGAACUGAAGCAGGGUUGGCAGUUUAACUGGCUGGUUUUGAUGGAGGGUGUUGUUUGGAUCCAGCUGAUGACAGAAUUGUGGACCAGUCGUGUCUUUCCUGUUGAUUUUCUGUGAAUUGAGCCUUCAUUACGCUGUCUUGUCACACACAUGAUUUUGCUUGUCUCUAGACCAACGUCAGAAAGUGUGUUUAAGUAGUUUUUUAUGUGAUCAGAUUAGUUGUAGAUUAGAGUGUUAAGGGAGAAAGCUGGUAUUUAUGCACAGAUUGAUUUAAAAUGUAAUUCACAGCUAAGCACUUCAACGUUGCAACAUUCCGGAAGCCCGCUAGAUCUGGAAGCUGAUUGGCUGUUCGCACUCAAUUUUCUGCUGGUUAAUAUUCAUCUGACAUUAUCUACUGGUGUUUUUUUUUUUUUAAUUUUAUGAUAAUUUAAAUAUAUCUUCAAUUAUUUACUGGUGCAGCACAUUUAUAGUAAGUUGAGAGUGAGUGUGUGUGUGUGUUUUAAUGUAAUGAUAAUUUAAAUAUAUAUUUAGUGCUUCGGAUUUUCAGUUUUAACCCCUGAUACAAAAAGAUUUAAUCAGUUAACAGACAAUAAACACCAGAAAAACUGUGGAAAUGGUUAAUCUAUGCAUGUUGACUGUACCCUUUUCACAUUUAAAAAAAUCAAACCCUGUGAAUACAUUUCACAGGGCUGCUGGGCAAUGUCCUGCCUUCCUGACUUGUGUCUAUCAUUGAUUCGUUCUGAAUACUUUAAACCCACCCCAACUACUGAGUGACAGCACAUUCCUACAUUUCUAUUGGAGACUCCGCUGGCGAGAUUUAAAACGAGAUUACACUCAGGAUGGAAGCUUGUUAGCGGGAUUUCAAGCUGUAUUACAGUUAAAAUACGGAGGAUUUAAAACUGAAUUGUGACAAUGUACACAAAUUCCUGAACACAAACCCCAGAAGAAUGUUGAUGUGACCUCAGGGAUUUCGUUGUGGAAGACAGCAAAGGAAAGAAGGUACAACUUAAGUGUGCAAGUACUGUCGAGUUACUGCUAUACAUAUUGUCACACACACACAAAAAAGCAUUUUGGAAAGUAACCAAAAACACUAAUUUCAUACAGAAUAUCAAAAACGAAAGCCCCGAAAAAAAAACGAUUGACAUAAAACUCGAAUAGCUAAAAAUAAGCACCGAAAAAUACAAUUAAUAAAACCCGAAAAACAGAAGCCCUAAAUAUAUUCAAUUAUUUACUGGUGCAGCACAUGUUUAUAUUAAGGUGAUGGGGUGUGUGUUUUUAAUUUAAUGAUAAUUUAAAUAUAUGUUCAGUUAUUUACUGGUGCAGCACAUAUUUAUAUUAAGGUGAGGUGUGUGUGUUUUAGUUUAAUGAUAAUUUAAAUAUAUGUUCAGUUAUUUACUGGUGCAGCACAUAUUUAUAUUAAGGUGAGGUGUGUGUGUGUUUUAGUUUAAUGAUAAUUUAAAUAUAUGUUCAAUUAUUUACUGGUGCAGCACAUAUUUAUAUUAAGGUGAGGUGUGUGUGUUUUAGUUUAAUGAUAAUUUAAAUAUAUGUUCAGUUAUUUACUGGUGCAGCACAUAUUUAUAUUAAGGUGAGGUGUGUGUGUGUUUUAGUUUAAUGAUAAUUUAAAUAUAUGUUCAAUUAUUUACUGGUGCAGCACAUAUUUAUAUUAAGGUGAGGUGUGUGUGUGUUUUAGUUUAAUGAUAAUUUAAAUAUAUGUUCAAUUAUUUACUGGUGCAGCACAUAUUUAUAUUAAGGUGAGGUGUGUGUGUUUUAAUGUAGUAAAUGAUUCUAAUAGAGGUUACAUUAGUUACUGGUGCAAGUUUCUUUCACCUUGUAAAGAAUAUAUUCAGAGUGGUAACAGAGUAAUAGGCCUCUUCCCCAUGGCAUGGCAGAGCAUGGAUUCACAGAAUGAAUGUACAAUUUGCAGUGUACUAUUAAAUCCUAUAGAGGGCACCACAAACACAUUUACUGAGGGAGGAAGGGAGCAAGCUCCUGUAUAAUUAUACAAUCACCUGGAAGGUCUUGAUGCUGCAGUACAUUACAAACAGCAGCCAGGAUACAGGUGUUGAAUUGCUUAUCAGGAGGACAGGGCUAAGGUAGAUGGCAGAUGAAGGACAGUUCUCUUUUUCACAUGUUCCUCCAGUGCAAUGACAUGGGCAGCUCUAGCCUGGGUCACUCUGAGCCUCUGUCUGGUAAGUGAGAGGAGUUGUCCUAGUGCAGCUCAGCAAGCUGGUCUCUUCCAGUCCAGGUCUGCGUUCCAACCAUGGCUGCGUUUCUACCUGGAGGAAAAGCCCUCCAGGACUGGAGCCUGUCGCAAUGCAAGUGAAGCUGCAGCAUAUACUACACUGUGGCACCCCCUAUGGUUUUUAAAUAGGUCUGCAUUAUCACACAGAAAUAUAUGUGCAGUCUGCAGGGUGCAAUGCAACAUGGGGUGAAGUCAUUAAGGCUAUGAGUAGGGUGGUUUGCUACAGCUUAUGAUUUCAAUGGAAAUGUCUUAUUUUUUCUGAUAUUUAAUUUACAUUGCUGUAAAAAACAUAAAAAUAACAGGGUCACUGACUCAGUUUUAUUUCUCAUUAUAGUGUAUGGGGAGCAGGGGAGGGGACCCAGAUCCAUGCAUUCAUGAAACAUGUUCCUCUCAUGCAAACACAUAGAAAUCACACGAGCUGUACCAAAGAAUAUGUGUGAUUCAUGUCAUUGUAUUGUAUGAAGGGUUGUGCAUGACAACGAUACUC